rnacentral:lncRNA from 1 species
AUUUGCAACUGCUAUAUUCUCUGUUGCAAUCUUCAUAUAUUCACAUGCAUCUUAUUUUCUUUCGACCCAUCUCCUCUUCUUUACGAUUCUAACUUGAUCUUCUUCUAUCCUGAUUUAAACUUCCACGUUGUAUGUUCUUUUAGUUUUUUUCCAUGUUUAGCUGCUGGUAGAGGAAGUAGAUGAAUUUUCUAUAUGGCGUGCCAAGAAAUGAAGAACUCAUGCCUGCUGUGCCCCCAUUCGGGAAAAAAAUUAUACACGGUUUAAUUUGAUAAUAGAUAUAAAUUAGUUGAUAAAUGGAUAGUACUUGUGGUCCUCGAAGGAACCACUCAAUUCAUUACAAACACACAAAAAAUAAAGCAGCCGUUGGGUAUUUCUUGAUGAUAAAGAACUCUAACCGAAAACAAUAAAUCAAAGUACUCAAAUGAUAAAAUGAAAAACAAGACAAAACAAUGAAAUUUGUUCAUCUAGUUCAGCCAAACACGGCCUAAUCUGGGGAGCUUAGGACUUGAACACGUUUCACUAUGCAAAUCGCCGUCCAAGAGAACCAAAGUUACAUCAAACCACUUAGAAUACACAAGUUUCGAUCAUCGAUCAACAGAAGCUAAACACAAAUCAUUCCACAACACUUAGCCCCAACUCCACAGUUUAUACAAACUGAAACCAACAACCACAAAAACCAACCUACAAAUUAUUGUAGCAAGGCUGUUAUAAAAGGCCUAGUGUAAAAACAUAAUUACACAGGAAGAGUUUAACCAAAGAGAAGAAAGAGAUGAAAAUUUUCUCUCGAAGAAAGCUCCACAGAGAGAAACUAAAAACAAGAAAAAUGAAUCUGAAAAACCAACCAUCCAAGUCUCUCUCCCAAGUCAUUGACCCAAUAACCAAGAAUUAAUCAUAGCCUUUCAUUCCAUUAGAUUAUCUCAACUGUCCAAAAGAAGCACAAAUUUUGGCACAAGUAAUAGACCAUUUGGGAGUUGCCACGUAAGGGUCUUCUCAACCCAAAUGUCAGCUGAGUCAAAUGUCAAAAAUAGUACUGUUUUAAAGUGUUUUUAUCAACACACUCUUUCAUUUCUUCACAUUGGGCUCUCUGGUUGCAUAAUUUGCAUAAGGAACAUUCAGUUCAUCAUCAUCAUCCAUACCUGCAAAAUAAAUUAACCUGUGUCAAUAUGAAGCAUAGUUAAACAGGACUUGAACUUACCAACAGAUAAAACUUUUGUUCCCAUAUCUGAGGGAUUUUUAUCAGUAUGAACUUUAACCAAAUUAACUUCACCUGUAGAGAUUUUAUCUCUAAUAAAAUGAUACUUCACCUCGAUAUGUAAACCUUUCAUGAUAGAUAAGGUUCUUACUAAGUAAUGGUGCACUUUGAUUUUCUGUAAAAUGGUGGGAGUAUCAUACAAGAAGUUCAAUUCAUUCAAGAUUCCUUUUAACCAUAAACAUUCUUUUACAGCUUCAAUAAUGGCAACAUAUUGAAAGAGUGUGUUUCUAAAAACACUUUAAAACAGUGUUAUUUUUGACAUUUGACUCAGCUGACAUUUGGGUUGAGGAGGCCUUUGCGUGACAGCUCCCAAAUGGUCUCUUACUUGUGCCAAAGAUUGUGCUUCUUUUGGAUGGUUGAGAUGAUCUAAUGGAAUGAAAUGCUAGAAUUAAUUAUUGGUUAUUGGAUCAAUGACUUGACUUGGGAGAGAGACUUAG